ACUCCUACGGGAGGCAGCAGUGGGGAAUUUUGGACAAUGGGCGGAAGCCUGAUCCAGCAAUGCCGCGUGAGUGAAGAAGGCCUUCGGGUUGUAAAGCUCUUUUGUCAGGGAAGAAACGGUGAGAGCUAAUAUCUCUUGCUAAUGACGGUACCUGAAGAAUAAGCACCGGCUAACUACGUGCCAGCAGCCGCGGUAAUACGUAGGGUGCAAGCGUUAAUCGGAAUUACUGGGCGUAAAGCGUGCGCAGGCGGUUUUGUAAGUCUGAUGUGAAAUCCCCGGGCUCAACCUGGGAAUUGCAUUGGAGACUGCAAGGCUAGAAUCUGGCAGAGGGGGGUAGAAUUCCACGUGUAGCAGUGAAAUGCGUAGAUAUGUGGAGGAACACCGAUGGCGAAGGCAGCCCCCUGGGUCAAGAUUGACGCUCAUGCACGAAAGCGUGGGGAGCAAACAGGAUUAGAUACCCCGGUAGUCCCA
rnacentral:rRNA from 1 species